rnacentral:rRNA from 1 species
UACGUAGGGUGCAAGCGUUGUCCGGAAUUAUUGGGCGUAAAGAGCUCGUAGGCGGUCUGUCGCGUCGGAUGUGAAAACUCAGGGCUCAACCCUGGGCCUGCAUUCGAUACGGGCAGACUAGAGUUCGGUAGGGGAGACUGGAAUUCCUGGUGUAGCGGUGAAAUGCGCAGAUAUCAGGAGGAACACCGGUGGCGAAGGCGGGUCUCUGGGCCGAAACUGACGCUGAGGAGCGAAAGCGUGGGGAGCAAACAGG